AUAUAACAGGGAUUAGAAUAUGAGUGUGUGAUGUUGGAGAGAGAAGGGGAAAGUGACAAAAUAGGAAGCUUACGUGUGUAUUGGGGGUCUCAUACAGACUCUCUUUUUGAAAGUUUAUUAAGGAGGGCUAUUACAGACAAUCCCUGCUCAACAUCAAGCAAGAGAAGAGAUUUAUGAUUUAUGUCGCACUAUACUAAUUAGAUUCACUAUCCUCACAAUAAAAAUUGUUGGAAAACUUGUGCUUCCAAAUCAGUACUGUAUUGUUCAUAUCAC
rnacentral:lncRNA from 1 species